rnacentral:misc_RNA from 1 species
AACCGGCGAGUCGACCGACAUUUCCUUGGAGGCGCCUUUCACUUGGGUGUUUCCCACGGCUUCGCCCGCACUUCCCAUCCCGCUCCCGACUCUCUCUCGCCCUUUUUCCUCUAGGUAAGAAUGAGUAGCGAUGAUGAAUGCCCGGAGCUGAUCUCGGCCCGCGUGCCGGUGACCGUCCUCACAGGAUUUCUCGGCAGCGGCAAGACGACGCUGUUGCACUACAUCCUGUCGGCGGAUCAUAACAUGCGCAUUGCCGUCAUUGUGAACGAGUUCGAGUUCGGCAAGACCAUCGAGAAGGGUCUGACGCUGAAGAGCUCCGAGAAGCCGGAUGAUGAGUGGCUGGAGCUGAGCAAUGGGUGCAUGUGUUGCACCGCCCAGACGCAGACGGUGAAGGCCCUAGAGUCGCUAAUGGAGCGCAGAGGCACGUUCGAUUUAAUUCUUGUGGAGACGUCCGGGCUUGCGGACCCUGGGCCGAUCGCGGCAAUGUUCUGGCAGGAUUUGGCGCUCUGCGGCCACCUUUACCUGUCUGGCAUCGUGACCCUGGUUGACGCGGUAAACAUUUGCAUGUACCUGCACGACGAAGACGUGAUGCAGGAGGCGGAGCGGCAGAUUCUGAUGGCGGACAAGGUGGUGCUCAACAAAUGCGACAUUGCCACUGAAGCCCAGCAAAAAGCGGCUCUCUCAGCGGUGCGGGAGAUCAACCCUGUGGCCACCGUCAUCCGGAGCGAUCACUCGCGCGUGCCCAACGUGCGGGACAUUCUGUUUAUCGACACCACCCGCGCGGCAACCGAGCUGGUGCAUCUUCACGAACACCAUCACUCCUCCAUCAGUGCGGUGUCACUGGAGUUCUUUGAAGCAGAGCGCGCCCUCGCAGUCAGCUCGUGCCGCGACGUGCACGCCAUCGGCAGCGACCUCCUCUACCGCUGUGGGGAGUACGGCUUCGAGGUAGUGAGGUGCAAGGCCGCGAUAUGGUGCUGCGAGGAUGGGCAAUACAGCCUCCUGCAACUCCAAAGCAUUGGUGACCUCUUUGAUGUAACGCCAAUGGUGGGGCAGAGUGUGCCAUUCGGCUGCACACGCGCGUUGGUGCUCGGCAAGAAACUAGACGAGGAGAAGCUGCGGGACAUCUUUGCCAAGUAUCUGAAGGCGACCAAGUAGAUGUCAGGGGAGGGGAGCGAGGCAGAUGCUACAGCAACAAGGGAGGUGCAUGCACACACACACACGCACAUAUAGAGAGAGAGAAAGCCCAGCAACGAUCAUGUUGGUCGGGUGAGGGCACGCGGCUGUCGACAAGGGUUUCGUGUCCUUCCGGCGAUGUGGUGCAUUGUGGAGGCGUGCUCUCUCUCUAUCUCCUCUUCCCUUUUGCGUCCUCCUUCUCCAGCACGCUGGGCAAGCGUCCGCGUCUUAGCGGACUGUAUUACAGUGUUGGAGCUUUUCCUUUUCUUGUUCUCGUCGGCUCAUCGCCGCUACGACGUCAUUCGACGACGUGCACCGUCUUGUGCCGCAGAUGGUGUCACACAUGAACGCACGCGCGAGCACUUGCGCAAUCCGAAGUAUGUUGGCUGUCAUGUAUUUUUUUUUUCGUGCAGGUUCUGCGUACGGG